UACGGAGGGUGCGAGCGUUGUCCGGAAUCACUGGGCGUAAAGGGCGCGUAGGCGGGCCUGAUAAGUAGGGGGUGAAAUCCUGCGGCUUAACCGCAGGGCUGCCUUCUAAACUGUCAGGCUUGGAGCACAGUAGAGGCAGGUGGAAUUCCCGGUGUAGGCGGUGGGAUGCGUAGAGAUCGGGAAGAACAUCAGUGGCGAAGGCGGCCUGCUGGGCUGUUGCUGACGCUGAGGCGCGACAGCGUGGGGAGCAAACAGG
rnacentral:rRNA from 1 species